CUCACCGCCAUGGAGACUUCAGGUGACAUCCAGCAGAGGAGUAACCACAGGGGGGCGAGGAUCAUCAUGUUUCCCUUCAUCACUGCAGUCAGUCUUUGUGCUAAGCUAAGCUAAGCACAUCCUGGAGGCGGGCCGGGGGUGAGAGGACACCGCAAGAAACCAGCCAAUAGCACGACGGCAACGUCAGUGACGGACAGCUCCACUGACCAAUGAGACAGCAGAGGAGGAGAGACGAUGUGUUUAAACUCUGGAGGAGAAGUGGGUCGAACUGAAGCCUCACACCGACCAAUCAAACACUCUCUGCUCUCUGAUUGGUGAAAACCUUCAAAACAUCAGCAACCAAUGAGGAGGCAGCAGGAGGAACCACCAGCUGCUCUACGUCGACCUCCACCACGACACGUUUGAAACUUUACUGACAAAAAACCUUGAAUUGUACCUUGAAAUCCUUGAAUUGUACCUUGAACCUCCAGGAUGGCAUGUAUCUCACAC